rnacentral:lncRNA from 1 species
AGUCCCAAAAAGCAUUCUGUGCGAAGCACUUAACGCCAAAAGUGAACAAAACAACACUUGCUCUAUUAACACGCCACACUGUCUGAAGGCAGUCGGCUUAACGAGAAACAAGAAUAUCCUACGUGUGGCUAAUUUGCGGUUAAGGAAGGCCCCAUGAUAUAUAAAGCCAAAAAAUAAAGCAAAACCGCAGCAGUUCAUUCAAAUUUUUUGUGGCCAAAACAAAUAUUAAGAUAAAAGUCAGUGGGGACUAUAAUUUGAGUUAUUCAAAUGCAAUAAAUCCGCGGAACCAAACGAGUUGCUAAUUUUACGUUAGACGCCCUUUAAUUUCACGCUGCCAUUUGUGGCUUCCGUUUCGUAUAAGUUUGGGUCGAUGAUUUUUAGAAUUUGCAUUUUCAAUUUGAAUAUAAAAAACCGCCGCUGCAGGUUUGCAGCUUUUAAAGUGAUCCGCAAUCUCAUUCCUAGUCAGUCGAAAAAAGCCAAGUCAAUGUCAAGUGUUGCUUCGGCUGACUUACUACAAAAGUUAAUUGCACUGCACGCACAUGCCAAAAGGUAAAAAGAGUCGCGAGCCUCGGCGACAGGCUUCCAAAACCCUGUAUAUCCACAUCACCAGACCUCAGGACCUCAACUUACGACUCUGGCUACGAGGCGCGUGUGUGCAAUAUCAGGUUUCCGCAUCGACUUGCAUAGUGAUUCGAGGAUGUGCGAAAAUAUGAUUUAAAUUAAGGGAUCAUCAGUUUGCAACAGACUAUUUGUAUACCUUCCUUUUAGAAUAUAUAUAUAUUUUUUAUAGAAAUAUGUAAUACUAGUUAAGUCUUCUAAAGGAAAUACAUUUUUACACGUU